rnacentral:lncRNA from 7 species
AUAUGUUGGCUAAACACUCAAUUACGUGCAGGAUAAUGGAUUGUUCCAGAGAGACCCAAUGCUGUAAUUCAUUGGAGACAGUCUUUUAAGAUCAUAGUGCAUUCUCUUCAAACAGGAUAAUCCAAAAAGUAUUUACAAGGUUCUAGUGAUUGAGCAACCAGAAGCUGCCCUUUGCAAUGCUGUAGAGAAAAAGCACCUAUAUCCAUGGAAGCAUGGGAGUGGCAAUGAGAAGGCAGGGAUUCAGGUUAUCUUGGUAUUGGAUAUGUGGGAAGACCUGUGUGCAUCUAGAAAGCACCAGAACCUAACAUCCUGACUUAAGCCAAGGCCAGAUCCUUAAGAAAAAAUGUACAAGAACAAUCCCUUUAUGUUCACUCCAAGCUGCAAGAUUUUUGAACGAAAUGCCUCAUUUGUACUUUACCAGGAAGAUAUCAACUUUACGUAUACCAUAAAAAUCAGGACUUAGAGAUUUGGCGACAUUCUUGGAGAUAUUCGAGGGGAAGAAAUAAGCAACUCCAGUCUAACCAGACGCUAUGAAACACUGGAAAAGAGAAGAAAGAAAAAAGCACAAACAAUUUUGAUUAUGUAACUGAGUGCCAUUCUCUAUAAUGAACAGCUGAGAAGUACAAUCAAUUAACGAAAACGAACAAACAAAACAAAACAAAAAAGGCCCAGAAAAGGAGGAUAAAUUGAACCCAGGGAAAUGGGAAAAUGAAGACAGUACCUCAGUGAUAUGGACAUUCUGAGUAGAGUAAAAUCAUUGAGUGUGAUAGAGAUCAAAGGAUUUAUUGCCUCCUGUCUAAUAGAAAUGGAGGGAUUUAUUGCCCCCAAAACUUGUGGCUUCCAGAAGAAUGUACUUACUCCAGUGUCUGCUAAACGUGGAUAAAUUCCUUCCCUCACAGGGUCUCUAAAAUGUGGAAAGAUUUACUUCCUUCUGAACGGUCUGCCCCAAAUAAGCAGCUACAAAGUAUGCCACAGAUGGUGCAUUUUCCUUCUCUUUAUGGAGAAAAUUUCAGAGAAGGGGCCUAAAAGCAAACAAACAUUUUAUUUUGUGUUUAAAAUUAAAAAUAAAAUAAAAUGCAACUUAGGGAAGGAAGUCAAAAGUUAUGAAUCUUAAUGGGCUGUUCAGGAAGUGUUUUGAGAUAAGGUAUUAUUCGAAUACAGUGUCAUAAAGCAAUCUACUAUGAUGAUUCUAAAGCAAGAUUAUGAGAUUAUGAGAUAUUCAAUUUAUGGUGAAUUUUACAGUAUACUGAAAUAAUUGUUAAAGUAGCUAUGAUGACCUAGAGGUGUAAGCAAGGUGAGAUUCACAGGGAUUAACACCUCCAUUUGUCUCCUCUCGGAACUGGGAAAUCAGGCAAACAUUCAGGCACCAAAGAUCUACUUCUGAACUAAAAGAAACAGCAAACAUCAAGCAAUAGUGCUGCAGCUUCUAUUACAAACAUGUAAAAAAGUUUUGUGUGCCCAAAAGCAAGUCUGCAUUUUUCCAACUACAUCAUUGGGCCAAUAAAAGAUAUUUAUUCUGCCCAUAAAUCUUUCCUUGCUAUCAUGAAAAUGUUAGAAUAUGUUUAAAGCUUUCAGAUGUUGCUGGUUGUUAUGUAAUAAAGAAGUUGAUUGU